AGAAGAAUUAAGGUCCCAAUCGUUCUAGAAUGAAACUAGAUGGAUGCUAGUUUUGUUAAAUUGGAGGAUCACAUCUGUCCAUGUCUCUGGAGUGCAUCAAUUAUACUUCUUAUGACUAUACUAUUUAACAUAAACAAUGACAUGCCUCCGGAGUGCAUCAAUUAUACCUCUUAUGACUACACUAUUUAACAUAUAAAUACAAUAACAAUCCAUUCACGU
rnacentral:lncRNA from 1 species